rnacentral:rRNA from 1 species
UGCAGAGCCUGGCCGGCGGCCGAGGUCAGCCGGAGGGGUUGAGGGUAGUUCGGAUUGACUGGGGGUAAGGGGCGUGUAGGAGGUCGGUCCCGUCCGGUGUGAAAGCCCGGUGCUCAGCCCCGGAAGUUCAGCGGAAACUAGCCGACUUGAGCGCGAUAGAGGAGGGUGGAAUUCCUGGUGUAGCGGUGAAAUGCGUAGAUAUCAGGAGGAACACCGGCGGCGAAGGCGGCCCUCUGGAUCGUUGCUGACGCUGAGACGCGAAAGCGUGGGGAGCAAACAGGAUUAGAUACCCCUGUAGUC